CCAGACUCCUACGGGAGGCAGCAGUGGGGGAUAUUGCACAAUGGGGGAAACCCUGAUGCAGCGACGCCGCGUGGGUGAAGAAGUAUUUCGGUAUGUAAAGCCCUAUCGGCAGGGAAGAAAUUGGACGGUACCUGACUAAGAAGCCCUGGCUAACUACGUGCCAGCAGCCGCGGUAAUACGUAGGGGGCAAGCGUUAUCCGGAUUCACUGGGUGUAAAGGGAGCGUAGACGGCCAUGCAAGCCUGGAGUGAAAGCCCGGGGCCCAACCCCGGGACUGCUCUGGGAACUGUGCGGCUGGAGUGCGGGAGGGGCAGGCGGAAUUCCUGGUGUAGCGGUGAAAUGCGUAGAUAUCAGGAGGAACACCGGCGGCGAAGGCGGCCUGCUGGACCGCGACUGACGUUGAGGCUCGAAAGCGUGGGGAGCAAACAGGAUUAGAUACCCCCGUAG
rnacentral:rRNA from 1 species